GAAUUAUCACAAGGCACUUUCAGAUGUCUCUUGUUUGUCCAGCUUCAGCAAUCUGGAGAAGCUCGACCUCAAACUCAACAACCUAACUUCACUAGAGGGGUUGAGGUCAUGCGUUAAUUUGAAAUGGUUAUCUGUUUUGGAGAACAAAUUAGAAACCUUGGAAGGAAUUCAAGGGCUUACUAAGCUCACUGUAAGUAGCUGCAUUUUGUGAAUAUUAAUAUCACCUGAGCUUGGGAAUUUAGUUUACUUCUUUCUGGUUGCUAGUCCUGUGUGUUGUGUACCUUAUUAUUGGAUUUAAGACUUUGUUUAUUAAAAUUU